rnacentral:rRNA from 1 species
AUGAACGCUAGCGACAGGCUUAACACAUGCAAGUCGAGGGGCAGCACAGGUAGCAAUACCGGGUGGCGACCGGCGCACGGGUGAGUAACGCGUAUGCAACUUACCUAUCAGAGGGGGAUAACCCGGCGAAAGUCGGACUAAUACCGCAUGAAGCAGGGGCCCCGCAUGGGGAUAUUUGCUAAAGAUUCAUCGCUGAUAGAUAGGCAUGCGUUCCAUUAGGCAGUUGGCGGGGUAACGGCCCACCAAACCGACGAUGGAUAGGGGUUCUGAGAGGAAGGUCCCCCACAUUGGUACUGAGACACGGACCAAACUCCUACGGGAGGCAGCAGUGAGGAAUAUUGGUCAAUGGCCGAGAGGCUGAACCAGCCAAGUCGCGUGAGGGAUGAAGGUUCUAUGGAUCGUAAACCUCUUUUAUAAGGGAAUAAAGUGCGGGACGUGUCCCGUUUUGUAUGUACCUUAUGAAUAAGGAUCGGCUAACUCCGUGCCAGCAGCCGCAGUAAUACGGAGGAUCCGAGCGUUAUCCGGAUUUAUUGGGUUUAAAGGGUGCGUAGGCGGCCUUUUAAGUCAGCGGUGAAAGUCUGUGGCUCAACCAUAGAAUUGCCGUUGAAACUGGGGGGCUUGAGUAUGUUUGAGGCAGGCGGAAUGCGUGGUGUAGCGGUGAAAUGCAUAGAUAUCACGCAGAACCCCGAUUGCGAAGGCAGCCUGCCAAGCCAUUACUGACGCUGAUGCACGAAAGCGUGGGGAUCAAACAGGAUUAGAUACCCUGGUAGUCCACGCAGUAAACGAUGAUCACUAGCUGUUUGCGAUACACUGUAAGCGGCACAGCGAAAGCGUUAAGUGAUCCACCUGGGGAGUACGCCGGCAACGGUGAAACUCAAAGGAAUUGACGGGGGCCCGCACAAGCGGAGGAACAUGUGGUUUAAUUCGAUGAUACGCGAGGAACCUUACCCGGGUUUGAGCGCAUUCGGACCGAGGUGGAAACACCUUUUCUAGCAAUAGCCGUUUGCGAGGUGCUGCAUGGUUGUCGUCAGCUCGUGCCGUGAGGUGUCGGCUUAAGUGCCAUAACGAGCGCAACCCUUGCCACUAGUUACUAACAGGUAAAGCUGAGGACUCUGGUGGGACUGCCAGCGUAAGCUGCGAGGAAGGCGGGGAUGACGUCAAAUCAGCACGGCCCUUACAUCCGGGGCGACACACGUGUUACAAUGGCGUGGACAAAGGGAAGCCACCUGGCGACAGGGAGCGAAUCCCCAAACCACGUCUCAGUUCGGAUCGGAGUCUGCAACCCGACUCCGUGAAGCUGGAUUCGCUAGUAAUCGCGCAUCAGCCAUGGCGCGGUGAAUACGUUCCCGGGCCUUGUACACACCGCCCGUCAAGCCAUGGGAGCCGGGGGUACCUGAAGUCCGUAACCGCGAGGAUCGGCCUAGGGUAAAACUGGUGACUGGGGCU